rnacentral:snoRNA from 1 species
GUGCAGUGAUGCAUUUUAUUCAUCAACACAUCAAUCUGAAAGCAUAGAUGUGUGGAAAAAUAAUGACUGAGCACA